AGAUUGAACGCUGGCGGCAUGCCUAACACAUGCAAGUCGAGCGGCAGCGCGGGGGCGACCCUGGCGGCGAGCGGCGGACGGGUGAGUAAGGCAUCGGAAUCUGCCCUGAUGUGGGGGAUAACGUAGGGAAACUUACGCUAAUACCGCAUACGACCGAGAGGUGAAAGCGGGGGAUCUUCGGACCUCGCGCUAAGAGAGGAGCCUACGUCCGAUUAGCUAGUUGGCGGGGUAAAGGCCCACCAAGGCGACGAUCGGUAGCUGGUCUGAGAGGACGAC
rnacentral:rRNA from 1 species